GGUUCUGUGGUGUAGUGGUUAUCACGUAUCGUUCACAUUAAGUGCAUAUCUUCUGAUAUGUAUUCGAUGAUGCCGAUAAGGUCACGAGUUCGACCCUCGUCAGGAUCA